GAUACUUACCCUACCGAAGUAUCCGCCUGAGAACUACGAGCACAAACGCUUAAAACUCUAAGGACUUGGCGGUGCUCCAAACCCACCUAGAGGAGCCUGUUCUAUAACCGAUAAUCCACGAUACACCCAACCGUUCUUUGCCAAAGCAGCCUACAUACCGCCGUCGCCAGCUCACCUUAUCUGAAAGUACUGCAGUGAGCACAAUAGCCUUCAACAUCGCUAGUAAGACAGGUCAAGGUAUAGCCCAUAGAGCGGAAGAAAUGGGCUACAUUUUCUAAAAUAGAAUAACACUACGGAAGAGAGUAUGAAAUUACCCUCGGAAGGUGGAUUUAGCAGUAAAGUGGGAUAAUAACUGCCCACUUAAAGCUGGCCCUGGAG
rnacentral:rRNA from 1 species